GGAAAGGCGCGCGAUACAGGGUGACAGCCCCGUACACAAAAAUGCACAUGCUGUGAGCUCGAUGAGUAGGGCGGGACACGUGGUAUCCUGUCUGAAUAUGGGGGGACCAUCCUCCAAGGCUAAAUACUCCUGACUGACCGAUAGUGAACCAGUACCGUGAGGGAAAGGCGAAAAGAACCCCGGCGAGGGGAGUGAAAAAGAACCUGAAACCGUGUACGUACAAGCAGUGGGAGCUCGCUUAGGCGUGUGACUGCGUACCUUUUGUAUAAUGGGUCAGCGACUUAUAUUCUGUAGCAAGGUUAACCGAAUAGGGGAGCCGAAGGGAAACCGAGUCUUAACUGGGCGUUAAGUUGCAGGGUAUAGACCCGAAACCCGGUGAUCUAGCCAUGGGCAGGUUGAAGGUUGGGUAACACUAACUGGAGGACCGAACCGACUAAUGUUGAAAAAUUAGCGGAUGACUUGUGGCUGGGGGUGAAAGGCCAAUCAAACCGGGAGAUAGCUGGUUCUCCCCGAAAGCUAUUUAGGUAGCGCCUCGUGAAUUCAUCUCCGGGGGUAGAGCACUGUUUCGGCAAGGGGGUCAUCCCGACUUACCAACCCGAUGCAAACUGCGAAUACCGGAGAAUGUUAUCACGGGAGACACACGGCGGGUGCUAACGUCCGUCGUGAAGAGGGAAACAACCCAGACCGCCAGCUAAGGUCCCAAAGUCAUGGUUAAGUGGGAAACGAUGUGGGAAGGCCCAGACAGCCAGGAUGUUGGCUUAGAAGCAGCCAUCAUUUAAAGAAAGCGUAAUAGCUCACUGGUCGAGUCGGCCUGCGCGGAAGAUGUAACGGGGCUAAACCAUGCAC
rnacentral:rRNA from 1 species